rnacentral:rRNA from 1 species
AACACGUGGGAAACCUGCCCAGAAGCGGGGGAUAACACCUGGAAACAGAUGCUAAUACCGCAUAACAACUUGGACCGCAUGGUCCGAGCUUGAAAGAUGGCUUCGGCUAUCACUUUUGGAUGGUCCCGCGGCGUAUUAGCUAGAUGGUGGGGUAACGGCUCACCAUGGCAAUGAUACGUAGCCGACCUGAGAGGGUAAUCGGCCACAUUGGGACUGAGACACGGCCCAAACUCCUACGGGAGGCAGCAGUAGGGAAUCUUCCACAAUGGACGAAAGUCUGAUGGAGCAACGCCGCGUGAGUGAAGAAGGGUUUCGGCUCGUAAAACUCUGUUGUUAAAGAAGAACAUAUCUGAGAGUAACUGUUCAGGUAUUGACGGUAUUUAACCAGAAAGCCACGGCUAACUACGUGCCAGCAGCCGCGGUAAUACGUAGGUGGCAAGCGUUGUCCGGAUUUAUUGGGCGUAAAGCGAGCGCAGGCGGUUUUUUAAGUCUGAUGUGAAAGCCUUCGGCUCAACCGAAGAAGUGCAUCGGAAACUGGGAAACUUGAGUGCAGAAGAGGACAGUGGAACUCCAUGUGUAGCGGUGAAAUGCGUAGAUAUAUGGAAGAACACCAGUGGCGAAGGCGGCUGUCUGGUCUGUAACUGACGCUGAGGCUCGAAAGUAUGGGUAGCAAACAGGAUUAGAUACCCUGGUAGUCCAUACCGUAAACGAUGAAUGCUAAGUGUUGGAGGGUUUCCGCCCUUCAGUGCUGCAGCUAACGCAUUAAGCAUUCCGCCUGGGGAGUACGGCCGCAAGGCUGAAACUCAAAGGAAUUGACGGGGGCCCGCACAAGCGGUGGAGCAUGUGGUUUAAUUCGAAGCUACGCGAAGAACCUUACCAGGUCUUGACAUACUAUGCAAAUCUAAGAGAUUAGACGUUCCCUUCGGGGACAUGGAUACAGGUGGUGCAUGGUUGUCGUCAGCUCGUGUCGUGAGAUGUUGGGUUAAGUCCCGCAACGAGCGCAACCCUUAUUAUCAGUUGCCAGCAUUAAGUUGGGCACUCUGGUGAGACUGCCGGUGACAAACCGGAGGAAGGUGGGGAUGACGUCAAAUCAUCAUGCCCCUUAUGACCUGGGCUACACACGUGCUACAAUGGAUGGUACAACGAGUUGCGAACUCGCGAGAGUAAGCUAAUCUCUUAAAGCCAUUCUCAGUUCGGAUUGUAGGCUGCAACUCGCCUACAUGAAGUCGGAAUCGCUAGUAAUCGCGGAUCAGCAUGCCGCGGUGAAUACGUUCCCGGGGCCUUGUACACACCGCCCGUCACACCAUGAGAGUUUGUAACACCCAAAGUCGGUGGGGUAACCUUUUAGGACCAGCUGCCUAAGU